UACGGGAGGCAGCAGUGGGGAAUUUUCCGCAAUGGGCGAAAGCCUGACGGAGCAAUACCGCGUGAGGGACGAAGGCCUGUGGGUUGUAAACCUCUUUUGUUAGGGAAGAUAAUGACGGUACCUAACGAAUAAGCAUCGGCUAACUCCGUGCCAGCAGCCGCGGUAAGACGGAGGAUGCAAGCGUUAUCCGGAAUUAUUGGGCGUAAAGCGUACGUAGGCUGUUUCAUAAGUCUGUUGUCAAAGCCCGAGGCUCAACCUUGGAUCGGCAAUGGAAACUGUGAGACUAGAGAGAGAUAGGGGCAGGAGGAAUUCCAGGUGUAGCGGUGAAAUGCGUAGAUAUCUGGAAGAACACCAGUGGCGAAAGCGUCCUGCUGGAUCUCAACUGACGCUGAAGUACGAAAGCUGGGGGAGCGAAUGGGAUUAGAUACCCCAGUAGUCCUAGCCGUAAACGAUGGGUACUAGGUGUUGGUCGUAUCGACCCCGAUCAGUGCCGUAGCUAACGCGUUAAGUACCCCGCCUGGGGA
rnacentral:rRNA from 1 species